rnacentral:lncRNA from 1 species
GACAGCUUCAGGCACUAUAGAGUCCAAGAAGUCUAUAGCUAGUCCAGCUCAAACGGUAGCUGGUAAAGACUUAACAAAUCCGUUUAUGGUUUUGGACUUGCCAAAAGCCCAACAGAUUCAGGAGGCUGUUGAUUCUCCUACUUUUCAAUUUAAUCAGACUCAACAGGCUGAAAAUCCUGUUACAAAAAAUAAAAUUACUGAAGAACAGACUCAGCAGACUGUAAAUUCUACUACUAGAUUAAUUAGUCCAAUAGAUUUAAAAUAGAAAAGCCCAGUUAAUCUUAUAUCAGAAUCAUUUCAAUCAUCACAAGAUCCAGAGCAAAUUACUCAAUCAGAUAUAAAAAGAUUGAAAAAAAAUGUUUGAUAAAAUAGAAAAAUUACAGCAACAAGUUAAACAAAAGACCUCAAAGAAAAAGAAGUUGCAGAUAAAGAAGAAAAACAAAGGCAUAAAGAAAAUUGAUCUUAAAGAAGAUUAUGAGGAUAAUACAGAAGAGGACAAUAAUUCAGAAGGCUAUACUGAUGGAGGAGCAUCUUUAGACAGCAUUGGCCGACACAAUUAUGAAACAAGAUAAGGAUUCAAGAAAGAUCUGAUCAUACAAAGAAAGACUUAGCUGGAAAAGAGACACUUGGCAAACUUUCAAAAAGAUCAGAAAUUAUUGUACGAGA